AAGAUGGAAGAUCAACCUUGUCAAAUCAAGAUCAAAUCAAAAUAUACCGGUAAAUAGAAGUUGUUUGUAGAGAAAAGUGAAAUUCCGCGUGUUUAUCUGUGACCGGAAAAAAGUCCAAGAAAAUCCGGAUGGAUGGGGAGAAGCUUCUCCGAACCGUAAAAGGACGAAAGGAUUCUCUCUGGAACGCGCCCGGUAGCCCGAGGGCGAGCCGGAGUCUGUGUGCCGUCAACUGCUGUGCUACUGCUCUGUGCAAAUAAAUCAUCGUCAUCCUCGUCGACGGGUCCGGAGUCUCCCGGGCAACCAUCGCAGUAAGCCAUGAUGACAACGCAAGCCGAGGUUGGGGAAGAUUUACGGGGAUUAAAUAUGACCAAAACGGUUUUCCGCCGGAAUGAUGAACUGUCGGAUGUCGAGCAGUCGAGGGAGUCGACCUAUGAAAUUUAAUUCCAUAAUGAAACAAUUUAAAAUGUCAAGUAAUUACGCCUGAGCCCGGAAUUAAUUCCAUUUUGAUGGAUUGUCGGUCCCCUCGAUCUGCGGCGUUGGAUGAAGCGGCGCAAGUAGGCGAUGCAUGUCGGCGUGUCGUGCGUGGAGCAGUCAAGGUCGUCAAGGCCUGCUUGUUGUUUUUGAGCCUCUCGCUACGGAUGCUUCGAUUAAUCAAGCACCUUUUAACAACUGUCAACAUCUUAGCGCUUCUGUGUGGAAGCUCGCAAGAAGAACUACUGCCGAGAGAGGUGCUAUACUGUUUAAAUAUUUGCUUCAUUUUAAUUUUAAGUGGAUGUCACUCUCCGGCCGGUACGCGUGAACGACCCCUGCCGAAUCUUGACAGACGACGACGUCGUCAACAUUGGGCUUUUGUUUUCCUUCUCCAAAAAGAAUCAGCAAAUAUUGUUUCCAGCGCGUCAGCGAUGUCGGGAUAAACAUAACCUGGUUUAAUCCAGCGAGUUCAAUUUUCAUCAAAUCAGCACAAAAAUCCAUCCAUCCAAGCAAUCUUCGAGCAGUGGCCCGGGUUGCUACGAUUCGUACCUGCACCGGAGAACGAAUCUUGCUGAACAAAUAUUUGGCUAACUUUUUUGUCGUUUGGUUUGUUUUCUUCCCUCCUCCCGGAAUUCCUCGCGGACUACUGUUGCUGUCUUUAAUUUUAAAGUGCCUUCGACGACGGUUCCCCCCAGAGUUUCGCCAGGACGACGGCGACGAUCAACCUUCUCGCUGUCUCCACUCGGCUUUAUUUGUAAAUACUUUUAUGCAUGUUUCAUGUUCGUUUUCCAAACACUGGCAGUCGUCAAAUAUUUGGAAUGAAUUUUGUGACCGGUCCCCCGAUUGCAGUAGGCUACCGACGGAUCGAUGAAGAACCAAAUAGGUACGGCAGGGUACGGCAAGGGCAUCUCCACCGCCUACCGCUGUGGAGUCGCUCUAACGACGGUUGUAACAAAAGCAAACUCUGCGUCAAAUUAACGCAAAAUUCCCUGCACGCUCAAACAUUCCUACCCAAGCUCGCCGAAUGUUUGUCACUCUUCAGCAGUGCGACAAAAUUUUGAAACGUCAAAAGCGCGAACGGGAGGGAAACAGAAAAAAAACAACCACUCACGCACACUAGCCACGUGCGCGCUCGUCACUUGCGGUGACGACCACUUUUCCGUUCUGUUUACAUUUACUACCGCGCGACUACUACAUUUGCGAUCGGCACGACAACGAGUUGUUUGAUAGUUCAAUAUCAACAUCAUUAAGUUGGCGCAAUGGCUGCGACGGCUGUUGUUUUUUACUAUUUCAAAGUUUCGUUGUCGCGAGCUACCGGAUUACGUAAAUCGAGUUGUGUGUGUAUUUGAGGUUGUGGCCGUCGGUUGUGGUCGGCAAGGUUGGAAUUAGCAAACAAAGUUUGCGAAAUGAAACGAGGACAAUGUUGGGUAGAUUGAGGUAAGGUAGCGAUUUGUUUGCCCUACAUCGAGGUAAUAUCGGUCCUACAAGAGAACGUUAUGAAAUAUUUCUUACCCUGUAGAACUUUCAAACGUUAAAAUCUGUUGUCAAAUGGCAUGGUCGUCGUGUGACAGCUGUCAGUCUUUCAUUUAUCGAAUUAGGAUUCGGAAUGAUCUUCGAAUGCAGUUCUUUUAAAGUUGUCGGACUCUCAAUGCCUUUCUCAAUGUAUACUGGAUUGCGAUAAAUUUAAAUUCAUUUUACGAUUGCUUCACAAACAUCCCUCCAUAUUUCUAAAUGCAUUUUACCUUCCAACUUUAAG